rfam:Xylanimonas cellulosilytica DSM 15894, complete genome.
CAGCGGCACCUUCACAACGGAUCGUCCGGCACGUACCUGCCGGUGAAGGGAACCACU